rnacentral:rRNA from 1 species
GGAUUAGAAACCCGGGUAGUCCACGCCGUAAACGAUGGAUACUAGCUGUUCGGGCGUAAGCUUGAGUGGCUAAGCGAAAGUGAUAAGUAUCCCACCUGGGGAGUACGGUCGCAAGACUGAAACUCAAAGGAAUUGACGGGGGCCCGCACAAGCGGUGGAGCAUGUGGUUUAAUUCGAUGAUACGCGAGGAACCUUACCAGGGCUUAAAUGUAGUUUGACGUAUUUGGAAACAGAUAUUUCUUCGGACAAAUUACAAGGUGCUGCAUGGUUGUCGUCAGCUCGUGCCGUGAGGUGUCAGGUUAAGUCCUAUAACGAGCGCAACCCCUGUUGUUAGUUGCCAGCGAGUGAUGUCGGGAACUCUAACAAGACUGCCGGUGUAAACCGCGAGGAAGGU